AGAUUGAACGCUGGCGGCAUGCUUUACACAUGCAAGUCGUGCGGCAGCGCGGGGGCAACCCUGGCGGCGAGCGGCGAACGGGUGAGGAAUACAUCGGAACGUACCCCGGAGUGGGGGAUAACCCAGCGAAAGUUGGACUAAUACCGCAUAUGCUCUGAGGAGGAAAGCAGGGGACUUCGCAAGAGGCCUUGCGCUCUGGGAGCGGCCGAUGUCCGAUUAGCUAGUUGGUGGGGUAAUGGCUCACCAAGGCGACGAUCGGUAGCUGGUCUGAGAGGAUGAUCAGCCACACUGGGACUGAGACACGGCCCAGACUCCUACGGAGCAGCAGUGGGGAAUUUUGGACAAAUGGGGGGCAAACCCGUGAUCC
rnacentral:rRNA from 1 species